rnacentral:rRNA from 1 species
AGUGAACGCUGGCGGUAGGCCUAACACAUGCAAGUCGAACGGCAGCACAGUAAGAGCUUGCUCUUACGGGUGGCGAGUGGCGGACGGGUGAGGAAUACAUCGGAAUCUACUUUUUCGUGGGGGAUAACGUAGGGAAACUUACGCUAAUACCGCAUACUACCUACGGGUGAAAGCAUGGGAUCUUCGGACCUUGCGCGAUUGAAUGAGCCGAUGUCGAUUAGCUAGUUUGCGGGGUAAAGGCCCACCAAGGCGACGAUCCGUAGCUGGUCUGAGAGGAUGAUCAGCCACACUGGAACUGAGACACGGUCCAGACUCCUACGGGAGGCAGCAGUGGGGAAUAUUGGACAAUGGGCGCAAGCCUGAUCCAGCCAUACCGCGUGGGUGAAGAAGGCAUUCGGGUUGUAAAGCCCUUUUGUUGGGAAAGAAAAGCAGCAGGUUAAUACCCCGCUGUUCUGACGGUACCCAAAGAAUAAGCACCGGCUAACUUCGUG